rnacentral:lncRNA from 1 species
ACAGUUCUUAACGGCCGCGCGUCCAGAGUCUGUUCCUUCUGAUGUUCGGAUGUGUUCGGAGUUUCUUCCUUCUGGUGGGUUCGUGGUCUCGCUGGCUCGGGAGUGAAGCUGCAGACGUUUGCGGAACUCGUGAGUUAUGACAAAAAGAUAUUAUGACUCCCAUGCAGCGGAUGAAGACAUUGAUGCCCAUGAAAGGAGAUUCACAAGCCUCCCUCCCAGAUUCAGGGAAGGAGAUGCAGCCCCCACCCCUUGACUGGAGGAGGACCAAGGUCACCUUGCAGAGCACCGUGAGAUGUGGAAGAUGCCAGAACUGUCUGUGGGAAAUGGGAUUUGUACUUGGCUUGUCUGCCUCUUGCAACCAGAGUCCUGGUUCUCAGGGCCUCACCUGUGCAUCUCUUGUUGAGCACAGAGGAGGCACUCGGCAUAAAUGAAGAGGAUGCUUGCUGAGCUGGCUGGCCCAUCCUCUCUUCUUUCCCUUGUUUUUCUAUUUUAUCUUUCAAAGCAGUGUUUCAAGUGUUUAUAAACUAAUCUAUGUAUAAAAUAUUAUGUGGCAUAAGAUUUGCAAAAUAUUAAAGAUUUAAAGAAUCAAAUAAAAUAUUUGUAUGAUACCAC